rnacentral:tRNA from 1 species
ACAUUCGUCGUCUAAUGGCAAGACGGUUCUCUUCAACAGAAUACGAUACUGGUUCAACUCCAGUCGAAUGCU